GCUCCAGUCUCAGGAGAAGGGAAAAGGGCCCAGCCAACUGUCCCUGGGGAUGGGGAAGCCCAGUGAGAGAUUCUGGGAAAACACUGGGGGCCUGAGGUCCUGAGUGUCCCAGACAGAGGAGGGGGAGGAGUGGCCUCAAGGAGAAGAUCCUCUGUAUUGCAACGGAUGAAGAUGAGCCCUGGGCGGCCUUUGUCAACGGAUGAAGAUGAGCCCUGGGCGGCCUUUGUCAACGGAUGAAGAUGAGCCCUGGGCGGCCUUUGUCAAUGGAUGAAGAUGAGCCCUGGGCGGCCGUUGUGGAGACGGUCAUCACUGUGACUGUUUUUGCGCUGGUUGUUGUGGUUGUUGGCACCUGUAUUCAUCCCCUCACCCGUUCCUGGAUGAACAGCCCAGAAGUGGAUUUGGAUUUUUGAUUUGAAACGCCAAAUGGGCGAAUAAAAUAUAACUCUCACCCACUCACGUUGUCUCUCAGAAUAAAUUGUAACAUGCAAGUUUCAAUUAAGUUUCUUGUGACCUCAUGUUGACUAAAUAUAAGGGUUUUCUUUUCCCAACGUUAGCGGGUCAUAUGUAGUCAGUCUUUGUCCUUCAGAUGGUUGUGUGCACUUUAUUGGAGGGAUUUCUAUUUUGUUGACUGUGUUGCAAUGCCCCUCCCACCCCCACCUACUCCAGCAGCCUGUAGAGCAGACAGGAGUCUGCACGGAGUCCUUUUUGCCCUGGAUUUCUUGUGCUCUUGAUCUGGUGUUCCUCUUAAUACCUCAUCUCCUUCCUUUUCAACUUAAUUAAUCCUCCAUCUCUUGCCUCAUAGUCCCUGUGUCCUUCCUCUUAUUCCUGUGGGGUCACAUGGUGAAAGCCUAGCUGUUACCAUGGCUCCAAGCUGUGCUUUCUCUCUGGUGCCCUUUUGGUGCCUCAUUCUAAGUCUGGACUCUACAAUGAUAUCAGACUCUCCAUAGUCAAAAUGGAAUUUCCUUCUUCUCUUUUUUUCCAUUCAUCUCUCUCUCCUGAAUUCUAUCU
ensembl:lncRNA